CCGUCUACACAUGCAAGUCGAGCGGUAGCACAGAGAGCUUGCUCUCGGGUGACGAGCGGCGGACGGGUGAGUAAUGUCUGGGAAACUGCCUGAUGGAGGGGGAUAACUACUGGAAACGGUAGCUAAUACCGCAUAACGUCGCAAGACCAAAGUGGGGGACCUUCGGGCCUCAUGCCAUCAGAUGUGCCCAGAUGGGAUUAGCUAGUAGGUGGGGUAACGGCUCACCUAGGCGACGAUCCCUAGCUGGUCUGAGAGGAUGACCAGCCACACUGGAACUGAGACACGGUCCAGACUCCUACGGGAGGCAGCAGUGGGGAAUAUUGCACAAUGGGCGCAAGCCUGAUGCAGCCAUGCCGCGUGUGUGAAGAAGGCCUUCGGGUUGUAAAGCACUUUCAGCGGGGAGGAAGGCGUUGAGGUUAAUAACCUUGUCGAUUGACGUUACCCGCAGAAGAAGCACCGGCUAACUCCGUGCCAGCAGCCGCGGUAAUACGGAGGGUGCAAGCGUUAAUCGGAAUUACUGGGCGUAAAGCGCACGCAGGCGGUCUGUCAAGUCGGAUGUGAAAUCCCCGGGCUCAACCUGGGAACUGCAUUCGAAACUGGCAGGCUAGAGUCUUGUAGAGGGGGGUAGAAUUCCAGGUGUAGCGGUGAAAUGCGUAGAGAUCUGGAGGAAUACCGGUGGCGAAGGCGGCCCCCUGGACAAAGACUGACGCUCAGGUGCGAAAGCGUGGGGAGCAAACAGGAUUAGAUACCCUGGUAGUCCACGCCGUAAACGAUGUCGAUUUGGAGGUUGUGCCCUUGAGGCGUGGCUUCCGGAGCUAACGCGUUAAAUCGACCGCCUGGGGAGUACGGCCGCAAGGUUAAAACUCAAAUGAAUUCACGGGGGCCCGCACAAGCGGUGGAGCAUGUGGUUUAAUUCGAUGCAACGCGAAGAACCUUACCUGGUCUUGACAUCCACAGAACUUUCCAGAGAUGGAUUGGUGCCUUCGGGAACUGUGAGACAGGUGCUGCAUGGCUGUCGUCAGCUCGUGUUGUGAAAUGUUGGGUUAAGUCCCGCAACGAGCGCAACCCUUAUCCUUUGUUGCCAGCGGUUCGGCCGGGAACUCAAAGGAGACUGCCAGUGAUAAACUGGAGGAAGGUGGGGAUGACGUCAAGUCAUCAUGGCCCUUACGACCAGGGCUACACACGUGCUACAAUGGCAUAUACAAAGAGAAGCGACCUCGCGAGAGCAAGCGGACCUCAUAAAGUAUGUCGUAGUCCGGAUUGGAGUCUGCAACUCGACUCCAUGAAGUCGGAAUCGCUAGUAAUCGUAGAUCAGAAUGCUACGGUGAAUACGUUCCCGGGCCUUGUACACACCGCCCGUCACACCAUGGGAGUGGGUUGCAAAAGAAGUAGGUAGCUUAACCUUCGGGAGGGCGCUACGU
rnacentral:rRNA from 1 species